rnacentral:rRNA from 1 species
AGACCCGAAACCCGGUGAUCUAGCCAUGGGCAGGUUGAAGGUUGGGUAACACUAACUGGAGGACCGAACCGACUAAUGUUGAAAAAUUAGCGGAUGACCUGUGGCUGGGGGUGAAAGGCCAAUCAAACCGGGAGAUAGCUGGUUCUCCCCGAAAGCUAUUUAGGUAGCGCCUCGUGAAUUCAUCUCCGGGGGUAGAGCACUGUUUCGGCUAGGGGGCCAUCCCGGCUUACCAACCCGAUGCAAACUGCGAAUACCGGAGAAUGUUAUCACGGGAGACACACGGCGGGUGCUAACGUCCGUCGUGAAGAGGGAAACAACCCAGACCGCCAGCUAAGGUCCCAAAGUCAUGGUUAAGUGGGAAACGAUGUGGGAAGGCCCAGACAGCCAGGAUGUUGGCUUAGAAGCAGCCAUCAUUUAAAGAAAGCGUAAUAGCUCACUGGUCGAGUCGGCCUGCGCGGAAGAUGUAACGGGGCUAAACCAUGCACCGAAGCUGCGGCAGCGAACGUAUCACUUAAAGCGAUUCAGCGGGUUACGAUUGACGGAGCGAAGCGACGUCAAAGCGUAUACAAAGUCGAGUCGGUUUAAGGAUACGUUCGUUGGGUAGGGGAGCGUUCUGUAAGCCUGUGAAGGUGUGUCGUGAGGCAUGCUGGAGGUAUCAGAAGUGCGAAUGCUGACAUAAGUAACGAUAAAGCGGGUGAAAAGCCCGCUCGCCGGAAGACCAAGGGUUCCUGUCCAACGUUAAUCGGGGCAGGGUGAGUCGACCCCUAAGGCGAGGCCGAAAGGCGUAGUCGAUGGGAAACGGGUUAAUAUUCCCGUACUUGGUGUUACUGCGAAGGGGGGACGGAGAAGGCUAUGUUGGCCGGGCGACGGUUGUCCCGGUUUAAGCGUGUAGGUGUGUGUUCCAGGUAAAUCCGGUUCACUUUAACACUGAGGCGUGAUGACGAGGCACUACGGUGCUGAAGCAACAAAUGCCCUGCUUCCAGGAAAAGCCUCUAAGCAUCAGGUAACAUCAAAUCGUACCCCAAACCGACACAGGUGGUCAGGUAGAGAAUACCAAGGCGCUUGAGAGAACUCGGGUGAAGGAACUAGGCAAAAUGGUGCCGUAACUUCGGGAGAAGGCACGCUGACAUGUAGGUGAAGUGAUUUACUCAUGGAGCUGAAGUCAGUCGAAGAUACCAGCUGGCUGCAACUGUUUAUUAAAAACACAGCACUGUGCAAACACGAAAGUGGACGUAUACGGUGUGACGCCUGCCCGGUGCCGGAAGGUUAAUUGAUGGGGUCAGCGCAAGCGAAGCUCCUGAUCGAAGCCCCGGUAAACGGCGGCCGUAACUAUAACGGUCCUAAGGUAGCGAAAUUCCUUGUCGGGUAAGUUCCGACCUGCACGAAUGGCGUAAUGAUGGCCAGGCUGUCUCCACCCGAGACUCAGUGAAAUUGAACUCGCUGUGAAGAUGCAGUGUACCCGCGGCAAGACGGAAAGACCCCGUGAACCUUUACUAUAGCUUGACACUGAACAUUGAGCCUUGAUGUGUAGGAUAGGUGGGAGGCUUUGAAGCGUGGACGCCAGUCUGC